AACGCACAUUGCGCCCGCCAGUAUUCUGGCGGGCAUGCCUGUUCGAGCGUCAUUACAACCCUCAGGCCCCCGGGCCUGGCGUUGGGGAUCGGCGAGGCGCCCCCUGUGGGCACGCGCCGUCCCCUAAAUACAGUGGCGGUCCCGCCGCAGCUUCCAUUGCGUAGUAGCUAACACCUCGCACUGGAGAGCGGCGCGGCCAUGCCGUGAAACACCCAACUUCUGAAUGUUGACCUCGAAUCAGGUAGGAAUACCCGCUGAACUUAA
rnacentral:misc_RNA from 1 species